rnacentral:misc_RNA from 1 species
GAAAUGCGAUAAGUAAUGUGAAUUGCAGAAUUCAGUGAAUCAUCGAAUCUUUGAACGCACCUUGCGCUCCUUGGUAUUCCUUGGAGCAUGCCUGUUUGAGUAUCAUGAAAUCUUCAAAGUAAAUCUUUUGUUAACUCAAUUGGUUUCUACUUUGGUAUUGGAGGUCUUUGCAGCUUCACACCUGCUCCUCUUUGUUCAUUAGCUGGAUCUCAGUGUUAUGCUUGGUUCCACUCGGCGUGAUAAGUUUCUAUCGCUGAGGACACUGUAAAAGGUGGCCAAGGUAAAUGCAGAUGAACCGCUUCUAAUAGUCCAUUGACUUGGACAAUACUUUUAUGAUCUGAUCUCAAAUCAGGUAGGACUACCCGCUGAACUUAAGC